UGGGGAAUAUUGGACAAUGGGCGAAAGCCUGAUCCAGCCAUGCCGCGUGUGUGAAGAAGGUCUUCGGAUUGUAAAGCACUUUAAGUUGGGAGGAAGGGCAUUAACCUAAUACGUUAGUGUUUUGACGUUACCGACAGAAUAAGCACCGGCUAACUCUGUGCCAGCAGCCGCGGUAAUACAGAGGGUGCAAGCGUUAAUCGGAAUUACUGGGCGUAAAGCGCGCGUAGGUGGUUUGUUAAGUUGGAUGUGAAAUCCCCGGGCUCAACCUGGGAACUGCAUUCAAAACUGACUGACUAGAGUAUGGUAGAGGGUGGUGGAAUUUCCUGUGUAGCGGUGAAAUGCGUAGAUAUAGGAAGGAACACCAGUGGCGAAGGCGGCCCCCUGGACAAAGACUGACGCUCAGGUGCGAGAGCGUGGGGAGCAAACA
rnacentral:rRNA from 1 species